UCCAACUUAUCGCUGGCGGUCUCCUGAGAGUGCCCAACUCAAUGAUGGCAACACAGGACAGGGGUUGCGCUCGUUAUAGGACUUAACCUGACACCUCACGGCACGAGCUGACGACAACCAUGCAGCACCUGUGUGUCGGCUCCCUUUUGGGCACGCCUCCGUCUCGAGAGGCUUCCGACCAUGUCAAGGGUAGGUAAGGUUUUUCGCGUUGCAUCGAAUUAAUCCACAUCAUCCACCGCUUGUGCGGGUCCCCGUCAAUUCCUUUGAGUUUUAAUCUUGCGACCGUACUCCCCAGGCGGAAUGCUUAAAGCGUUAGCUGCGCCACUGGUGAGUAAACCCCCCAACGGCUAGCAUCCAUCGUUUACGGCGUGGACUAC
rnacentral:misc_RNA from 1 species